rnacentral:lncRNA from 1 species
CCUUGAAGCCACCAGAAGUGCUGUCUGUUUUGUUCCAAGGCCUUGUCUGGACAUAAUUGACAGCAAUAUAGACACACUCUUGGAAUAUAAGGGGGAGGUCGGAUUCUGGUUGUCCUCGGUUGUUCUCAAAUUACACGAUAAAGCAGAUGUAGAUGUUUUAGAUCCUUUAAACCAGAAAGAGUCAUAGAGUCCAGUUAUAAAAUCCGUAACAUGUUAGCAGGACUUCUUAUAGCUCUAGUCACAGAACAGCCUAGGAACUCCUCACUACAAAGGCAAGGUGCUUGCUCUAAAAUUAGUUUGCCUAUUUGGGAAAUGAAGACUUCCUGUGGUUUGAGGUUCAGCUCUUUUUCUGAAUUGUUGCAAUCUGUACUCAGGGCCCUUAAGAUCUAGGUUAGGUUUUGUUUGGUGUAGUUUUUGCACCCUAUGGAAAUCAGUUAUUAGCACUUUGUUAAUAUUGUUCACUUAGUUCUUGGGGGAAUACUGCCUAAGGUAUGCAAGAGGCCAUGCCCAAUUCAGACUUGGCCAGCAAAUUCGAUCAUGGGUUCAUACUAUCACAGAAACAGACCAGAGGCAGCGAAUUCUAUCACUACAACACGUUCUCAUUUACUCUUCCCUUCCAAAGAAUCUGCCUCAUUGCUGCCAAGGAGAAGCCAACCAGACAUGGGAUGCAGCCCUACCUCACCAUUGUGGUGCAGUUAAGGCAGUCCUCCUCGUACUUUGAGGGUCCUUGUCGUAUGUCCUAUCAUUUAAUGAGUCAUGAGAUGGAUGAGCUGUAUCGACUUGAUUAGUGGUGCCUACUUCAGCCUCAGUUCUUCAGACUGGGUCUAAGCUUAUUAAGCACAAAGUAAAGGGAAAUAGAAUUUUGGUCACAUUUUAUUAAACAGUGUUUAUAUUAAACAUCUUAUUAAACACUAGUUUUCAGAAUAAAGAAAAUGUCCCUCAUGCUCUCCA